UACGAAGGUGGCAAGCGUUACUCGGAAUUACUAGGCGUAAAGGGCAGGUAGGUGGCUUGAUAAGUCUGUUGUGGAAGCUCCCGGCUUAACUGGGAGAGGUCAACGGAUACUGUUAGGCUCGAGUGUGGGAGAGGGUACUGGAAUUCCCGGUGUAGCGGUGAAAUGCGCAGAGAUCGGGAGGAACACCAAUGGCGAAAGCAGGUACCUGGACCAUUACUGACACUCAACUGCGAAAGCUAGGGGAGCAAACAGG
rnacentral:rRNA from 1 species